CUUGGUCAUUUAUAGGAAGUAAAAGUCGUAACAAGGCCUCCGUUGGUGAACCAGCGGAGGGAUCAUUAAAGAGUUGCAAAGCUCCCAAACCCUUGUCAACCUACCUGUUUCUGUUGCUUCGGCGGGUGGCCCCAGGCGGGGCCGUCUGCCUCUGUUCGCGGAGGUGCCUGCCAGAAGCCCACAAAACUCCUGCGUUAUAGUGGCAUGUCUUACCAAAAAAAGAACAUCAAACGAGUCAAAACUUUCAACAACGGAUCUCUUGGUUCUGGCAUCGAUGAAGAACGCAGCGAAAUGCGAUAAGUAAUGUGAAUUGCAGAAUUCAGUGAAUCAUCGAAUCUUUGAACGCACAUUGCGCCCGCUAGUAUUCUGGUGGGCAUGCCUGUUCGAGAGUCAUUUUCAAUCCUCAAGCUCUGGCUUGGUGUUGGGGUUCUACGGCUCCUGUAGGCUCCAAAGACUAGUGGCGGGCUCGCUAUAACUCCGAGCGCAGUACAUGUAUCUCGCUUUGGAAGUGUGGUGGGUUCCAGCCGCAAAACGCCCCAACUCACAUGACAAGGUUAACCUCGUAUCAGGUAGGAAUACCCGCUGAACUUAAGCAUAUCAAUAAGCGGAGGA
rnacentral:rRNA from 1 species